GAGUUUGAUCAUGGCUCAGAUUGAACGCUGGCGGCAGGCUUAACACAUGCAAGUCGAACGGUAGCAGGAGAAAGCUUGCUUUCUUGCUGACGAGUGGCGGACGGGUGAGUAAUGCUUGGGAAUCUGGCUUAUGGAGGGGGAUAACCAUUGGAAACGAUGGCUAAUACCGCGUAAUAUCGGGAGAUUAAAGACUGGGACUUUAGCCAGUUGCCAUAAGAUGAGCCCAAGUGGGAUUAGGUAGUUGGUGGGGUAAAGGCCUACCAAGCCAUCGAUCUCUAGCUGGUCUGAGAGGAUGACCAGCCACACUGGAACUGAGACACGGUCCAGACUCCUACGGGAGGCAGCAGUGGGGAAUAUUGCGCAAUGGGGGCAACCCUGACGCAGCCAUGCCGCGUGAAUGAAGAAGGCCUUCGGGUUGUAAAGUUCUUUUCGGUGAUGAGGAAGGUUGUGAUGUUAAUAGCAUGACCAAAUUGACGUAUCCCGAAAGGC
rnacentral:rRNA from 1 species